rnacentral:rRNA from 1 species
UACGUAGGGUGCAAGCGUUAAUCGGAAUUACUGGGCGUAAAGCGUGCGCAGGCGGUUCGUGAUGUCUGGUGUGAAAGCCCCGGGCUUAACCUGGGAAUUGCAUUGGAAACUAGCGGGCUGGAGUGUGGCAGAGGGGGGUGGAAUUCCACGUGUAGCAGUGAAAUGCGUAGAGAUGUGGAGGAACACCGAUGGCGAAGGCAGCCCCCUGGGCUAACACUGACGCUCGAUGCACGAAAGCGUGGGGAGCAAACAGG